rnacentral:rRNA from 1 species
GUGGCUUGUGGAAGCGCCGUCGCUCAACGGAUAAAAGGUACCCCGGGGAUAACAGGCUGAUCUUCCCCAAGAGUCCAUAUCGACGGGAUGGUUUGGCACCUCGAUGUCGGCUCGUCGCAUCCUGGGGCUGGAGUCGGUCCCAAGGGUUGGGCUGUUCGCCCAUUAAAGCGGUACGCGAGCUGGGUUUAGAACGUCGUGAGACAGUUCGGUCCCUAUCCGCUGUGCGCGUAGGAAUAUUGAGAAGGGCUGUCCCUAGUACGAGAGGACCGGGACGGACGAACCUCUGGUGUGCCAGUUGUUCUGCCAAGGGCAUGGCUGGUUGGCUACGUUCGGGAGGGAUAACCGCUGAAAGCAUCUAAGCGGGAAGCCUGCUUCGAGAUGAGUGUUCCCACCUCCUUUGAGAGGGUAAGGCUCCCAGUAGACGACUGGGUUGAUAGGCCGGAUAUGGAAGCCCUGUGAGGGGUGGAGUUGACCGGUACUAAUAGGCCGAGGGCUUGUCCUCAGUUG